GAGACCCACGCCCACAGUUGCCAGCUUAUCCUCCGGGGUGAAGGGUACACUGUGGGGACCGCCGCUGCUAAAGCGGAGGAAGGAAUGGGCWACGGUAGGUCAGUAUGCCCCGAAUUAUCCGGGCUACACGCGGGCUACAAUGGUUGGGACAAUGGGUAUCUACCCCGAAAGGUGAUGGCAAUCUCCUAAACCCAUCCUUAGUUCGGAUUGAGGGCUGCAACUCGCCCUCAUGAAGCUGGAAUCCGUAGUAAUCGCGUNUCAAUAUGGCGCGGUGAAUAU
rnacentral:rRNA from 1 species